UACAGGGGGGGCAAGCGUUGUUCGGAAUUACUGGGCGUAAAGGGCUCGUAGGCGGCCAACUAAGUCACACGUGAAAUCCCCAGGCUUAACCUGGGAACUGCGUGUGAUACUGGAUGGCUUGAAUCCGGGAGAGGGAUGCGGAAUUCCAGGUGUAGCGGUGAAAUGCGUAGAUAUCUGGAGGAACACCGGUGGCGAAGGCGGCAUCCUGGACCGGUAUUGACGCUGAUGAGCGAAAGCCAGGGGAGCAAACGGGG
rnacentral:rRNA from 1 species